rnacentral:rRNA from 1 species
GACGAACGCUGGCGGCGUGCCUAAUACAUGCAAGUAGAACGCUGAAGGAGGAGCUUGCUUCUCUGGAUGAGUUGCGAACGGGUGAGUAACGCGUAGGUAACCUGCCUGGUAGCGGGGGAUAACUAUUGGAAACGAUAGCUAAUACCGCAUAAUAGUAGAUGUUGCAUGACAUUUGCUUAAAAGGUGCAAUUGCAUCACUACCAGAUGGACCUGCGUUGUAUUAGCUAGUUGGUGGGGUAACGGCUCACCAAGGCGACGAUACAUAGCCGACCUGAGAGGGUGAUCGGCCACACUGGGACUGAGACACGGCCCAGACUCCUACGGGAGGCAGCAGUAGGGAAUCUUCGGCAAUGGACGGAAGUCUGACCGAGCAACGCCGCGUGAGUGAAGAAGGUUUUCGGAUCGUAAAGCUCUGUUGUAAGAGAAGAACGAGUGUGAGAGUGGCAAGUUCACACUGUGACGGUAUCUUACCAGAAAGGGACGGCUAACUACGUG